rnacentral:tmRNA from 1 species
GGGGCUGAUUCUGGAUUCGACGGGAUUUGCGAAACCCAAGGUGCAUGCCGAGGGGCGGUUGGCCUCGUAAAAAGCCGCAAAAAAUAGUCGCAAACGACGAAAACUACGCUUUAGCAGCUUAAUAACCUGCUUAGAGCCCUCUCUCCCUAGCCUCCGCUCUUAGGACGGGGAUCAAGAGGGGUCAAACCCAAAAGAGAUCGCGUGGAAGCCCUGCCUGGGGUUGAAGCGUUAAAACUUAAUCAGGCUAGUUUGUUAGUGGCGUGUCCGUCCGCAGCUGGCAAGCGAAUGUAAAGACUGACUAAGCAUGUAGUACCGAGGAUGUAGGAAUUUCGGACGCGGGUUCAACUCCCGCCAGCUCCACCA